rnacentral:rRNA from 1 species
AUUGAACGCUGGCGGCAUGCCUUACACAUGCAAGUCGAACGGCAGCACGGACUUCGGUCUGGUGGCGAGUGGCGAACGGGUGAGUAAUGUAUCGGAACGUACCUUUCAGUGGGGGAUAACGUAGCGAAAGUUACGCUAAUACCGCGUAUUCUGUGAGCAGGAAAGCAGGGGAUCGCAAGACCUUGCGCUGAUUGAGCGGCCGAUAUCAGAUUAGCUAGUUGGUGAGGUAAAGGCUCACCAAGGCGACGAUCUGUAGCGGGUCUGAGAGGAUGAUCCGCCACACUGGAACUGAGACACGGUCCAGACUCCUACGGGAGGCAGCAGUGGGAAUUUUGGACAAUGGGGGCAACCCUGAUCCAGCCAUGCCGCGUGAGUGAAGAAGG